CUUGACGGAGCCGAGCCACAGCGGCCGGUCCUCCGGUCGGUCCUGGCCGUACGUGGCCAGCAGGGCCUGCGCCUC
rnacentral:antisense_RNA from 1 species